AGGGAUAGGGUCGGUUCGGCCGGAUUUCACACAGGUGUUGCAUGGCUGUCGUCAGCUCGUGUCGUGAGAUGUUGGGUUAAGUCCCGCAACGAGCGCAACCCUCAUCCUUAGUUACCAUCAGGUAAUGCUGGGGACUUUAAGGAAACUGCCAGUGAUAAACUGGAGGAAGGUGGGGAUGAUGUCAAGUCAUCAUGGCCCUUAUGGAGUGGGCUACACACGUGCUACAAUGGUGGCUACAAUGGGCUGCAAAGUCGCGAGGCUAAGCUAAUCCCUUAAAAGCCAUCUCAGUUCGGAUUGUACUCUGCAACUCGAGUACAUGAAGUUGGAAUCGCUAGUAAUCGUGGAUCAGCAUGCCACGGUGAAUACGUUCUCGGGUCUUGUACACACUGCCCGUCACGCCAUGGGAAUUGGU
rnacentral:rRNA from 1 species